GAUGAACGCUGGCGGCGUGCCUAAUACAUGCAAGUCGAGCGAAGCGGGGACGGGUGAGAGAAACGUGGGUAACAUCCUAUAAGACUGGGAAAACUUCCUGCAACCGGAGCUUAACCGGCUACUGAUAGCUUGAUCCGCGCGGCAUUAGCUAGGUGGUAAGGUAACGGCUUACCAAGGCAACGAUGCAUAGCCGACCUGAGAGGGUGAUCGGCCACACUGGAACUGAGACACGGUCCAGACGCCUACGGGAGGCAGCAGUAGGGAAUCUUCCGCAAUGGGCGAAAGCCUGACGGAGCAACGCCGCGUGAGUGAUGAAGGUCUUCGGAUCGUAAAACUCUGUUAUUAGGGAAGCGGUACCUAAUCAGAAAGCCACGGCUAACUACGUGCCAGCAGCCGCGGUAAUAC
rnacentral:rRNA from 1 species